rnacentral:rRNA from 1 species
UACGAAGGUCCCAAGCGUUGUUCGGAAUCACUGGGCGUAAAGGGGGCGUAGGCGGCGUGGUAAGUCAGAUGUGAAAUCCCGGGGCUCAACCCCGGAACUGCAUCCGAUACUGCCAUGCUAGAGGAUUGGAGAGGUAGCUGGAAUUCUUGGUGUAGCAGUGAAAUGCGUAGAGAUCAAGAGGAACACCGGUGGCGAAGGCGGCUACCUGGACAGAAACUGACGCUGAGGCGCGAAAGCUAGGGGAGCAAACAGG